AUAACGACUCUCGGCAACGGAUAUCUCGGCUCUCGCAUCGAUGAAGAACGUAGCGAAAUGCGAUACUUGGUGUGAAUUGCAGAAUCCCGUGAACCAUCGAGUCUUUGAACGCAAGUUGCGCCCCAAGCCUUUAGGUCGAGGGCACGUCUGCCUGGGUGUCACG
rnacentral:rRNA from 2 species